rnacentral:piRNA from 1 species
UAGAACCAAAUAGUGCAGGUCUUUCUAAAGC